GGGUUUGGAUGGUGCUUCAUCGGCCAGUGGGGGCUGCAAUCGGCAGCUCCCUCAUGUUUUCUUCUUUCUGAACCAAUGGUACAAUCACAGAGGGAAUACAAAAACAUUCAGGGGUGUUUGGAUUGUUUCAACCAACAGGGUUUGUUUUGAUUAAUAGGGAAUGAGUAAGAAAAGAACCAAAAGAAGAGGUUGAUGGCCUCUUGUUGUUUUCUUGGCAGCCACCCACGAUCAAAGAAGAAAAGAAAGAAGAAGAUGAAGAACCUUCUUAUGUGGGUUUGUGGUUUUCAUAGUUUGAAGAGUUUACAAGACUACAAGAGUCUUGCUUUUGAGUGUGUUUUUGUAUAACACAAUUGUGUAUAGUUUUGGGUUAGAUGAAGUGUAUAAGAGAAAUACUUCAUUUAUUGUUGUACUUUUAGAGAGCCUUAGAAGCAAACUACUUUACAUGUAUUUAUGUAUGUAUUAACAUGUAUUUUCUAUAUGUAUAAACAUGUAUUGAGUGAUGUGAUAGAAAAUAUAAAUAUAGAUUCUAUAGUUAUAUUGUUAAAA